rnacentral:tRNA from 2 species
GUCCGGGUGGCGGAAUGGCAGACGCGCUAGCUUGAGGUGCUAGUGCCCUUCGGGGCGUGGGGGUUCAAGUCCCCCCUCGGACACCA